GGAGGGUGCAAGCGUUAAUCGGACUUACUGGGCGUAAAGGGCGCGUAGGCGGUAUUAUAAGUCAGUUGUGAAAGGCCAGGGCUUAACCUUGGACGAGCAAUUGAUACUGUAGAACUAGAGUCGAGUAGAGGGGAGCGGAAUUUCCGGUGUAGCGGUGAAAUGCGUAGAUAUCGGAAGGAACACCAGUGGCGAAGGCGGCUCUCUGGACUCAGACUGACGCUGAGGCGCGAAAGCGUGGGUAGCGAACAGGGAUUAGAUACCCUGGUAGUCCACGCUGUAAACGAUGAGUACUAGCUGUUGGUUGGCGAGACUAAUCAGUAGCGGAGCGAACGCAUUAAGUACUCCGCCUGGGACUACGGCCGCAAGGCUA
rnacentral:rRNA from 1 species